rnacentral:rRNA from 1 species
CCUACGGGAGGCAGCAGUGGGGGAUAUUGCACAAUGGGGGGAACCCUGAUGCAGCGACGCCGCGUGGGUGAAGAAGCGCCUCGGCGCGUAAAGCCCUGUCAGCAGGGAAGAAAAUGACGGUACCUGAAGAAAAAUCAUCGUCUAACUCCGUUCCAGCAGCCGCGGUAAUACGGGGGAUGCGAGCGUUAUCCGGAUUUAUUGGGUUAAAAGGGUGCGUAGGCGGAAUGCCAAGUCAGCGGGAAAAUCGCGGGGCUAAACCUCGCUCUGCAGUUGACACUGGCGUUCUUGCGUGGGCGAGAAGUAUGCGGAAUGCGUGGUGUAGCGGUGAAAUGCAUAGAUAUCACGAAGAACUCCGAUUGCGAAGGCAGCAUACCGGCGAGCAACUGACGCUGAAGCACGAAAGCGUGGGUAUCGAACAGGAUUAGAUACCCGGGUAGUC